UCCAUGUUAUCUGCGCUUCCUCUCUCUCCAAAUAUUACACGGCAAAAAAAAGAAAAGGAACUCACAGCCGAGCAUGUAAAACAAAGCUAAUCCCCUGAUUCCCCUUUCUCACACCAGAGCGCCGCCGCCGCCGACGCCGAUUCCGGGAAGCUCCGGCGCACUCCCACCCCACUGCUCACUACCUGCCCCCACUCCCUCAAUAUUCUCCUCCAAUCCCCCCCACCCACCCCACCCCACCCCACCCGCCCUUCGCCCCGCUGCACGCGGCCCCGCAACAAGCCUAGUCGCCACGCGCCGCCGGCGCGGCUUCGGCGGCUCCGGGUUGUCGGCCCAGUACACCUGCAUCUCCUCACGCGUGAUGGUGGUGCUCCGCCUCUUCUACCUCGACUCCGACGUUGAUGGUACUCCGCCUAGGGUUUCUGCGCCGUGUUACUCCGUCGAGUAUGAGUGGACAACACCGUGAUGCGAGUGAUUUCUCUCAACAAUUUUCUUAGUCAGGUAUUUGAAUUGUUGCUUACAUCUCUGGUGUUCGUAUCUUGUUCUGGUGUUUAUUGAUUAGAUGUGAUUACCCUGUGUUGACGGUCAACCUGUACUAGUUCUGGAUAAGUAGUAUGUGUAUACCCUGUUAUGCGUUACUGUCAGAUUUUCCUAUUCCUAUAUAGAUGGAUCGAUGGAAUUGUUUUUUUCACGUGAAAUUGAUCAUUAUAUACUAGCAUGUAGCAUGACCUAUUCAAUAAGAUCAACACGGUUUUUUCUUAUGAAAAGAGAUCAACUUAGUUCAAAUCACAGUGAGAUAGUAGUAUAUGAGCGAUAUAGCAUAUGACAUCAUGUAUGCCUCUGAAGGACAUUGCUACAAAAAUCAGCAUGUCAGUGCAAUUAUGGGUCAUGAUACUAGCAUAAUUAUUUCAAAUGGAUAAUCCCCUUCUCAGUAGUUUGAAUCAUUAUUUAUUUGGCGCCAUGUGUACAAUAUACAAAAAAACUAAGUCCACUUGCAUCCGUCUGUCCCAACAUUUGUCUUUGUUCUGUAAUACUUUGUUCCAUCUACACUCGCAAGUUAUGAAACUGUUUUUUUUACUAUAGUCAACAUCCACAUGUGUGUGCUUAUGUUAUCUCUUAACAGAUCGAUCUACAACACAUACGCAUUGCAAUUAUGAGAAAUCCAUCAAUAUGCAGAUGAAGCCUUAAGAAUUAUUUAAGUCAUUGUAAUUAUAUAUAUCAUGGUGAGGGCCCUUCCGCUGGUAAGGAAAACUUAGAUAUUUUGCGUAUUAUAUAUUUUUGAUUGAUGUAACAUUUGUUUUCCCCUGACAAAAAGUAAUGUUUGUUUCAUGUUCUUAUUCAGUAAAAAUGUGCACAGCACAAUCUCAAAUUUUAUGCAAAAGCUCAGAUGGCAAUAGUUCCUACACUCAUGUUAUCCAAUAUAAACUGUUGAAUGAUUGAUACAAUUUGAAGGUGAGAUACAAGAACAUCAUAACAUUGAUAUUCUCGUCGUAUGUAUAUGACUACUAUAUAUUCCCGAAACCUCACCUCUAAACUGAGUUUAGUGCAGUUUUUUUAUUUUUUGAAAUACAGGUACUUCUCAAUUUUUGUACUAAUUUUCUAUUUUGGGGAAAGCCACAUAUGUUUCCAACAAUAGAAUGAUGUGUGAUGGUCAUCACACAAACUCCUGGCCAGGUGCCUUUCACAUCUUAUCUUGUUUGUAAUAUAUAUAUUCUCCUUAAAUUGUUAACACAAUGAGCAUAUAGAUGUAGCUGGUUCAUCAACGUAAACAUCAAAAGUAUUCCUCUUAUGCAGUCUGCUUCCCUGACAUGCAGGGCACACUAAGGUGGUGGGAAGAUACAUACAACCGUUAACUUGACGGCUAAGCGAUCAGAUGCGGCGAUUGUGUGAGUGUGUCAGGUACGUCGAAUUCACUUAUCCCAAACUAUUGGAAGUUACUAGGAUCUCCUCUUCUCUGUAAUACUUAUGGCCUUCUCCUCUACCUAUUGGGGCAACAGUUUGGAUAUCCAGCAACCAUGGUGACAAAUACGUGCAUACUGGAACUGUUCCAAGUUUCCAUUUUCUCAGUAAACAAGUGAACUAAGAAAGUGAAUCCUAUUUAAUAAAUGUAGGCAUAUACUAAUACGGUGGCACAACUUAGUCUGCAUGAAUGUUCUGGUCUUCUAAAUUUUUAGUAUAAUGUUGAGUACUUUAGUUGGAGUCCAUGCUAGUUUAGCUAGCCAAGUUGAGUCUAAUAAGGCUAGGUCGAUUAGUUAGUUUUCCACCAUUGCAAGUCGUAAGCAUGUGUGCUCAUGGAUGGGUCGUAGUCUGUAGAUGAUUCAAUGAUUUUGCAUAGGUAGCAGCGUACGUGAUGUACUAGUAUGCCUUGGAGUUGGUGUGCCUUACUAGUCUAGGAAAAGGGCGCUCGAGUCCAAGUCGUUUUAGAUGCAAAGUCAGAGUAGGUUUAGGUUGUUCCGGCCAUGUAGCAGGUCAUAGUUGUGGAAGCAGGUCGUAUAAGAGUUUUUCCAUAGAAAACAAGGUCAUGUAAGAGCUUUCAGACAAGAAUAAAGAGUACGCUAAAGUUUCUUUCAUGCGCAUGUGUUUGGCUAUUUUGAUGUGAUAGAUUCUGUGGACAAAACAGAACAUAGAUUACUAAUCCAUAUGCCAAAUCAGCAGGUUACAGAAACUUGAUUGUUCCAAGUCAAUGUUGUUGGCACUAAAACCUAAAAGACUACUGGUGCCAAGCUGGAUUUGCUAGGAGGUAUUUUCUGAUAUUACUUCUAUAUUGCCUGAAUGAUUCUUCACCAAUUCGAAUGGAAAUUUUGGAUUAUUAAUAGCAUUACUUGAAUAUAUUUUUAUUAUCACACAUGCUUCUGUUCUUUUACCUAAUUCGUACAAGAGAACACUUUUCUUCCAUGUUACAAUGGUCAUACACUCAUACUGCGUCUCUAAGAUAAGACUCUUUGCCGCUAGAUUAGGUAAAAUAAUUCAUCAACUCCUGUAUGCCUUCCUUACAUUCCCUCACUUCCUAUAUAACACUCUGUUUCUAUAAACAUGGUGAAACUUGAUAAUGGAAUGAGCUGAGUUACUUUACUGUAAACUAAAAUGACUACGUUCGGCUACAAAAGUGAUACUUGACAAGUUCAAACAAGAGCGCUGCUCUUACUACAACCCAACGUAUCAACCAAGAAUAUAAAGGUAAAAUUGACGGUGUUAAACUUGGUAAUGAAUUCCUUAUAUUCCGAAUUGAUCUUACAUUAGCAAAAUCUGGUAAGUUUAUACAACUAAUAAAAAGUCAAAAUUACUGGCGAUAUAGCUAGAUUAAUUAUCACAUGGCCUUCAACCUUUCUAUGUUGCUCCUCUUUUUCAAUUUUACUGCCCUAUUAACCUAUCUCAUUUCUUUGUGUAGAUUGCAAGAUAAAUCGGUGAUGCAUCGUCAGAUGUUGAUUGCAAGGUCAAGAACAUGGGUGCAACUAGAUAGUUUCACAUUGUGUUUCAGAAUGUCAUUUUCAUUGUCGAUGUGUCAAUCAUUAUGAUUCAGGCAUUUUCGGUGUCAAUGUUUAGAUCAUUAUGUUUCAAAAUGGCUGAGACGUUGGUUGCAAGAUCAAGAAUAGGACCAGUACUAGUUUCACAUCUUGUAAUCUUUGUAUCCAGAUCCUUGUAAUGCAACCAAGUUGACUUAAUAUAUGAGACAGUUCUGUUUGUUAUACUGCGUGCCCUAUGCAUUAUUGGCAUU
rnacentral:lncRNA from 1 species